GGAUAUAUAGCUCAGGGGUACAGCACUGGACUGGCAUGUGCAGGACUCUGGGUUCAAUCCCCAGUACAUACA
rnacentral:tRNA from 1 species